CUACGUGCCAGCAGCCGCGGUAAUACGUAGGUGGCAAGCGUUGUCCGGAAUUAUUGGGCGUAAAGCGCGCGCAGGCGGAUUGGUCAGUCUGUCUUAAAAGUUCGGGGCUUAACCCCGUGAUGGGAUGGAAACUGCCAAUCUAGAGUAUCGGAGAGGAAAGUGGAAUUCCCAGUGUAGCGGUGAAAUGCGUAGAUAUUAGGAAGAACACCAGUGGCGAAGGCGACUUUCUGGACGAAAACUGACGCUGAGGCGCGAAAGCCAGGGGAGCGAACGGGAUUAGAUACCCCGGUAGUCCUGGCCGUAAACGAUGGGUACUAGGUGUAGGAGGUAUCGACCCCUUCUGUGCCGGAGUUAACGCAAUAAGUACCCCGCCUGGGGAGUACGACCGCAAGGUUGAAACUCAAAGGAAUUGACGGGGGCCCGCACAAGCGGUGGAGUAUGUGGUUUAAUUCGACGCAACGCGAAGAACCUUACCAGGUCUUGACAU
rnacentral:rRNA from 1 species